AGACUCCUACGGGAGGCAGCAGUGGGGAAUAUUGCACAAUGGGCGAAAGCCUGAUGCAGCGACGCCGCGUGGGGGAUGAAGGCCUUCGGGUUGUAAACCCCUUUCAGCAGGGAAGAAGCGAAAGUGACGGUACCUGCAGAAGAAGCGCCGGCUAACUACGUGCCAGCAGCCGCGGUAAUACGUAGGGCGCAAGCGUUGUCCGGAAUUAUUGGGCGUAAAGAGUUCGUAGGCGGUUUGUCGCGUCUGCUGUGAAAUCCCGAGGCUCAACCUCGGGACUGCAGUGGGUACGGGCAAACUAGAGUGUGGUAGGGGAAACUGGAAUUCCUGGUGUAGCGGUGGAAUGCGCAGAUAUCAGGAGGAACACCGAUGGCGAAGGCAGGUUUCUGGGCCACAACUGACGCUGAGGAACGAAAGCAUGGGGAGCGAACAGGAUUAGAUACCCUGGUAGUCCAUGCCGUAAACGGUGGGCACUAGAUGUGGGGGCCAUUCCAUGGUUUCCGCGUCGCAGCUAACGCAUUAAGUGCCCCGCCUGGGGAGUACGGCCGCAAGGCUAAAACUCAAAGGAAUUGACGGGGGCCCGCACAAGAGAU
rnacentral:rRNA from 1 species